ensembl:lncRNA
CAGAAAUCCAAGCUUUGUAGAUGAAAACUGGAGUCAUGGUUUUAAAAAUAACAUUACAUUUUUAAAUGUCAUAAGGCAACACUACAAUGCUUAAUUUAAUGCACAGAAGUGUUUUCAAAUUAAUUUUAGUAAUUAUUACUAAUGUUUGCUAGCGCUCAUCACCUGUACUAAUAACAUUUAACCCCAUAGCCACACUGGACCUGUUAGGACUGUAAAAAGACACACUAGUCUAAACCACGUUUGUAUCACCUCACUUCACAUUUUUCUUCUUUCAUUUUACACUUAACCUAUAUAACAAUCUAGCUUCUUGUUUACAGUCCACUUAAACACUCUGAAAUCUUGCUCUCUAGCACUGAACUGAGGAAGGUCUUCCCGUCCCUGCAGCUACAUACAACCCAAAGGCUCUUUUAAGAGCCACAUCACGAGAGAGUCUUUUGCUUUCGGCACCUACAUACAACCCAAAGGCUCUUUUCAGAGCCACAUCGCCCAGCGUCCUUGGCUUUAUUUUGCGUCACCCUCCACUGCCGCCUCCACAGAGUUUCUUCCCCUGCCAUCUAUUAUUUUAAGCAUGUACUAUAUUGUAGAAUUUUUAGAAGAAUCAUUGGUUGGAAUUGUAGCAGAAUGCUGGACAUUCGAAGAUAAUGGGCAACAAUAUACUUACUGGCCUACAAACAAUCAGACAAAACGGGCCAAAAAAGAAGAAGUCCCUGACGAAGAGAUCUGGAGCACACGAAAAAUCCGUGUUUUUGCCCAAACUGAUGAUUUUGAGAGGGCAUUAAGGUGGAGUAAAAAUGCUGAAUUGAAUUCCUCUGUAGAAAGCGACACUGGCAAUAAUUUCAAGAGGCCAACCAGAAAACCAAGCAGAUUCGAAGACAGCAGCGAUGAUGAGUGGGGAAGAGACACCUGGAUGCCUAACUUAAAGAGAAAGCGUCAAGAUGAACCCUUUCCUCGUCUCAAGGCAACAGCUGUAACAAAAAGGCCAAACAAAGCAGAAGCAGCUAAACUUCCAGUUCCACCCAAGCUGCAACCAACCUUCACAGAAUCUUCCCACCAUCCCACCUGUGACCCUUCAGUUCCCUCAUCACAAGAUUUACCUGAAGAUGUUGAAGAGCCUCCCAGACCAUCCCCAAUGGCAGCAACAGAAUAUUCAAAUGCAGAGAGACAACCAUGGACAAGGCGUCCACAAGAUUUUUCAGUGCCAAAAGACCUCAAAGAAACACUGCAGGUGCUGCUGCAGAAAGUAGACACCCUGGCGGCCUCCCAGAGGGAAAUUCUACUUUUACUGCGGAGGAACCAGGGUCGUCAAAGGGAGGAUGAUAUCUUGGACCUCAAGACAGCUCAGUGCAUGGAGGAAUUGGAGGACCUUGAGAACCACCUUAAGGACCCUGAAUUUAGAAAGAAAGUGACACACCAUCUCAGCCUUAUUAGUGGGGCCAGUCCAGGGGAGUGUGUAAGGAGGGUAAUGCGCGCAGUAGCCACUAACAAUGUAUGGAGCCACUACAGCCUGCAUGGGAAGCGAAAGAAGCUGGCUCUAAUUAAUAAAACAAUAUGUAAAGUUAUCACACGUAAGUCAGAAUGAUUUGUUUAUGAACAGAGACAAAUGUGCUACAAAUUUGAAAAUUUAAUUAUAAAGCUACAGAUUUUCUUGACUUUCUACAAGUCCUUUUCCACAUUUUUCACAACUUUUCUUUACUUUUUUUUUUUAACUGAAAUUAAAAAUGUAAAUUUUGACAUUGGAAUACUUUCUGUAAAGAUACUUUAAUUAGUAUGAUUUUUAUAGUAUGACAAAGUAGUAUGAUUAAUGAAAUUAUAAGUGUAUACAUUGUAUUUAAAUUAUACACUUGACAUUUCUAUUUAAUUUAUACACAAUUGAACAUGUGAAUAAACACUCAUAAAACAAGCACGAACAAAGUUCUGGCACUUACAUACUGUAACGGCUGUGACCUCUGUUUAAUUCCAGAUGCCGUCAUGAAAUGGAAAGCUGGUCUUGGGGAGAAGGAGAUAGAAAGUUUAAUAGCAGAGACUCUUAAACAUGCGCCGGCGCACAUAAAUAAAAGUGUCGAGGGACAUGUAGAGGAGUGGACGGAGGAGUAGAUGUGGAGGAGUAAAUGGUUCGGUGUUCAAGCUUCUGAAGAAAACCUUCUUUGUUCAUUUACAUGAUUAGAAACCUGUUCAUUUACAUGAUUAGAAACCUGUUCAUUUACAUGUUUAAAAACCUGUUUACCGUUUUGUUAUUUGUGAUUUAUCUAUACCUGUAAUAAACAACAUGAAUUAAUCAAA